AGCUCUGUGGUGUACAACAUGUUGGAUUGCAAAUCCAAAGAUGCAGGUUAAUCCCCGCCGGGGCUU
rnacentral:tRNA from 3 species